UACAGAGGGUGCAAGCGUUGUUCGGAAUUACUGGGCGUAAAGGGCGCGUAGGCGGCCUUCUAAGUCGAACGUGAAAUCCCCGGGCUCAACCCGGGAACUGCGUCCGAUACUGGAAGGCUUGAAUCCGGGAGAGGGAUGCGGAAUUCCAGGUGUAGCGGUGAAAUGCGUAGAUAUCUGGAGGAACACCGGUGGCGAAGGCGGCAUCCUGGACCGGCAUUGACGCUGAGGUGUGAAAGCGUGGGGAGCAAACAGG
rnacentral:rRNA from 1 species